UACGGGGGGGGCAAGCGUUGUUCGGAAUUACUGGGCGUAAAGGGCUCGUAGGUGGCCAACUAAGUCAGACGUGAAAUCCCUCGGCUUAACCGGGGAACUGCGUCCGAUACUGGAUGGCUUGAGUUUGGGAGAGGGAUGCGGAAUUCCAGGUGUAGCGGUGAAAUGCGUAGAUAUCUGGAGGAACACCGGUGGCGAAGGCGGCAUCCUGGACCAACACUGACGCUGAGGCGCGAAGGCGUGGGGAGCGAACGGGG
rnacentral:rRNA from 1 species